rnacentral:tRNA from 1 species
AAUUAGUUGGCUGAUUGAUUAAGCAUUUGUCUUGAAAACAAAUCAAAAAGGUUUAAUUCCUUUACUAGUUU